AAUUUUAAUACUAGUCCUGGGCUCCGUUGAACUGACCACAUGGCAAGUACCCAAUCAUCAGCAUAUGUCGAUUCAAAUACAGUAAUUAAAGCACAUAAUUUAAAAAUAUGGAAUUAGUCUUGUUGCCUAUCGAUUCAAAGAGAGCCUUAACCGAUUCGAAGAGAGCGAGAGCCAAAAACUCUAAAUCAGGACCUCAUUGAGCGCGCCAAUAGAACAUUUUUGGAAUUGCAUAUAUCGCUUAAUAUGCCAUGUUUUGCCACACAAAUCAACCUUUUUUCUUUAAAAAAAUUGGCGUUUUGAAAAGGUAACUUCUCUUCACUUCCAGAGUAUACAAAUAUAAAGGUAAGCAUAUUUAAUUGAAGGGACAUACCACAUAUGUGGUAUUCGGUCAGAGUGAUGAUUAAUACUACCAUCGGCCACACCUAAUAUAGUUAUACCUUGCGUUCACAUGCACACAAUUGUCCCAAAGAGCGUGUGAGAGAGCGCGUGAGAGAGGGUGGAAAACAUAAUAGGCCCCCGCGAGAUAGUCGUACCUUUUGAAAAAUUCUACCAUGCUUAUAAUAUACUAUACUAGACUUUCCACCGAAUUUCCACCAGAAUAAUACCAAUACAAAGUUCCACAGACAGAAGCUAUAUUGCAGAGCCGCUUUAGUACGAAGCCCCAGCUGUGUUACAUCACUGCACUACAAAAACGUUAAAUUAUUUGGGAGUAGAGAAGUUUUGCGCGGAAAAUCGUAGCGUGUUGUGUUGUUUGAGGUCGAUCGGUUUUUCUUUCCUAUAGUUUGCUUGCCUGCGCCGCCGCCUGCCUUGCUCUGCCGCCGGACUGUCACAACACAUGUUUGUGCCGUGCCACACACAAUACACAAUAGAGAGAAAAACACAAACAGAGUAGUCGGCGCGUUAGUUUUUCCAUUUCCACUUGGAGCGGGGGCCCGUCUCAGUCUCAUUCUAGUUGUGAUUUGUAGGAAGUAAGUUCUCUAGUGAAAAAGUAGUCAAAUAAAAUAUAUAAUAAUUCGAAACGAAUAUCGGGACAACACAAAUAAUACAACAGUAAACGAAAACACCACCAGAAUAGUAGUGGAACAAACCCGCGAAUCGUCCGUUAAAUCAACGUACCGUCGCGAUUGAGUAACCGUACGAGUAAUUUAACGCAACAUAAUGUGUAAUGUGUGUGAGCAACCACAACAAUAAAAGUCAAAAAUAUCUUCGGACGCGGGGAAGGACGCAGCGGCCACUAAAUAACGAUUUCGAGAACUAUCAACCACAACAACAGCGA
rnacentral:sRNA from 1 species